CCUGCCCCUUCUCUUGCCACGUGGAGUCCUCUCUUUACCUCUCUCCUCCCUUUCCUUCCUUCCUUCCUUCCUUCCUUCCUUCCUUCCUUCCUUCCUUCCUUCCUUCCUUCCUCCCUCCCUCCCUCCUUCCUCCCCUCCCUCCCUCCCUUUCUUCUCUCUCUACUUCUCCUCCUCUCCCUCUCCCUCCCUCCACUAUGUCCCAUUUCUUUAGUCCUUCCCUUCUGAACUCUUUCAUUUCAGAGAACUUUCUCCUUCUCUUUUGUUUUCUCUUCUCCCUUUUAUUCUGGUGCUGCCUGGCGGGAAGGGUAGAGAAGUGUGUCAGGAGGAUCGGAGAGGAAGGAAAACUUGAACAGGUAGGUCUGCAGCCUCCCCUGGGCACCAAGGUCAGCUGGAGAGUGACAGGGAGCAGAAACCCGCUGGUCAGCAAGUGCCAAGUCCCCAUGCAAAGGAUCUCUGUGGAAGUUGAGGUUGGUCCUUGAUCCAGGUCCACAGAUCAGUCACAGUCAAGAUUCACUGGAGCCCUGGUCUCUGGGUAUUUUUGUGGCAGGACAACCCCGUGCCUACCCUCUGUCCACCCACCACAAAAGUCCGUGCCUGCCCAAAGGGGUCACCUGGACCUACACUCAUGGUGGGAGCUGCCAGGAGCUGCGACAGAUACACCAUACUGGUCACUUGUCUUUCUCUGUGACCUGGAGUUACAGCUUUUGCCACCAAGCAAACCUGCUUGUCCCCAAUUCUCCUAUCCCCAGCCCCACAGCUCACGCCCUCCAGGACACCGGAAACAGCUGGGCUAGAGUUUUCAGUUGUGUCCUGCUGGCUUUCUGAUGCAAAGCUCGCUUUCUGGGCCCCUUUGUCUUCAGAAAGGAAAACCCCGAUGACUUCUUGCAUAACUGUAACUGUCCUGCUGCAGUCUGAGGGCCUCGCAGCCCAGAAAUCCUUGGGUUUAGAUUUGUUAUGUAAGGAACCCUUCUCCCCUCACCAAAAUAAAAGCCCUUAAAGGGUGCUUCCUGGAGGCAGCAUCAUUUGUAGCUCCAGCCCUCUGGAAAGAAGGCAGUCUGGCUAAAAGAGCUACUGCUGGUUCCUAGCACAGCAAUUGAGCUGGUAAGACAAUCCAGCCGUGGUGAAGGCAGUGUCCUGUGUCCAGGAUAGAAGUUGGACCACACCCUGGGGCUUCCCAGGCUGGGGCUUUCCUCGCUUGGAAGCCUAACCUCUUUUUGGAGAAUGCAGCAGUAGCUGCUGCUGAAAUUUCAUCCUUUCCACAGUUUCUGGUGUGGAAGCAGCAUCUCUUUCAACAGGGGAGCACUCAUUCCCCAAUUCCCCAUGUCUUCUCCCAGCCACGUCUCCUCCUGGCUCUUAGGCUUCCUCCGUGUCCAUCUAAACCCCUUUCCCUGUUCUGCAAGAACUUCCUUGUCUUCCACUUCUUCUUAGGCUUCUUAAUACUUCUCUCCAUUGUCCUACGCAUGUUAUCUUAAAUGAUGCUGUUAGAUAAGGAAAUCAGAGCUAACUGUUCUCCCUUGCAAGAAAUUAAAUAUAUGAGAGGAGUUGCUGCUCCAAUAGGGAAAACC
rnacentral:lncRNA from 1 species